AGGUUGGUGCAAACGUAAUUGCGGUUUUUGCCAUUACUUUCAACGGCAAACAUUGCAAUUACAUUUGCACUAACCUAAUA
ensembl:miRNA